rnacentral:lncRNA from 1 species
UUUUAUAUUAUUAAGUUAUGAAAGGAAAUGUUAGAAUUAUUUUGUGAGUUAGUUAAGGUGUAGAAUUUUAAACCCACACAUACUCAUAUUUUAUUUUGUAUGUGAUGUGUGGCUCGAUAGUUAUAAGAAGAGUUUGUUCCUAAAGUGCUUGAUUGAAGGUUAUAUAGUGCUAUUUCUAUAAUAGCAAUUUUAUAGAUUUUAAUAAUAGGUGUAUUUUAUUGGAUAAGUAUAGUGGACUUUAUGAAUUAGCUUAUAAGGAAAGACAACCUUCCUUUUCUCCCUUCUUCUACCAAGGUGCCGUAUCCCUCUUCUUUUCCUCAACCUCCAUGUUUGUCGAUCCAAGCUCCAAGAAUCACUCCAAAAAAAUCACACCUAUAUUCAUCCAGAAACGUAUAUUAAGGUGAGAAAUCUUGGAUUAAGUCUUAUUGAUAGUUGAAUAGAAGAAAUUCUCCUAUCUCUUCUUCUUGCUAUUUCGAGAAAUAGGCUGUUGUGGAAGAAAACGAUUUUGCCUCUUGUAUCAUGUUGAUUACUACAUGUUUCAAGUUAGUAAUUGUUUAGAAUUAAGUUAAGCUAAAGCAUGCUAAUGUGUUCCUAUAGCUGUUAUUUGAGGAAAAUAUGAGUGAUAUGUCAAUGAGCAUUGCUGUCAGAUUUCGGGUUGGACAGAACAGUAUGUUUCGGGGUACUUUUGAUGAUGUUUUCGUAGUCCAAAUAACUUGAAAUUUUUACUGUAAUAACUUCAUCAUGUGUAGUCGUUCUCUGCAAAAUUUCAGCUAAAUCCGAGACCAUUAGAUAUGCUAAAUUAUUUUCUGAAAUGUACUGCGCGAAGCAGCGAAGUUCAGUGGUAGAUUCUGCCUUUUGUGAUAUAACUUCUCAUACACUUGAUGUAUUGUAUUUUUGUAACUUUAUAAUAAAAAUAGACUCUGAGAGAUUUCUAAAAAUGUAAAGUUUGUAUUUUUCUUUAAAGAGGAUGAUUUUAUAUGAUAUUUCAAAGUUGAGAUUCAUAUAUGAUUACAUAUUUGAGAUUUCCUACUUGAGCAAGUUAUUAAUAGAACUGUGCUAAGUGAUUGAUGUUUAGUUAUUAAUUGUAAGCUAAUCUAUAUAGAAUGGAUUAGUUUACUCUUAAGCUUUUCUCAAGUUGAGAUAUCCCAAGAGAUGUGAUGUUACUAUUUGCUUUUAGUUAACUCCAUAUAAGUAGAAUACUCAGAUUAGAGGAUGCAACUUUCAAGUGAUAGAAGUUUCAUUCAAGAUUUACUUUCUAUUUACUUACUUAUUAUUCAAUCUUACUUGGGAACCUCAUUAUAAUGAAGGUUUGAGUGGCAGUGUAGAGUGAACAAGCAAAGACUUCUAUUUCAUUAAGCGUAUCAGGUGGGCAUUACUUUUACUAUACGUAUAUAGAGAUCCCCUGCGUGUCGUAGGCCUCUUAUACGAAUGAAUGCAUGAGAUGAUUUAACUGUUAAUUUCAGUUUUAUAUAUCUAUCAAACGAGUUUAAUGCUACCUUUGAACAAGUUAUUUCGUUACAAAUCUUUGAACUGGAAAAUAUUACAACUGUUGUCUUGCCAUAAAAUGUUUAAAUUUUAGUAUGAUAUCUAUCUGCUUUGGCUUUGCCAAUGAUGCAAUCGAAUUCGGGUCCUGAGCAGUUGAUAGCUAUCCUGCCAGGACUAGUGUACACCAGUGACCGUGAGUCAUCUAGCGGGUUGGCCGGUCAAGUGACCGUGAGAGGUGGCCACCUCUCCGGCACAAAGUUCCAGAUAUGAUAGAUUACAAGAGAACUUAGUCUGCAGACGAACUUUAAGAAUCACAAAUGAAUUUAGUAAGCUUGGGCCUUUUUAGCGAAAAACUCCCUUGCUGUACUGUUUAUGAUGGCAUGACAAUUUACAGUUUUAGAAGCAUGUAUUUUUAUACCUAGGCAUACGUGCCCACUGAGUGCUUUUGUACUCAGCCCUGCAUAUGUUUUCUAAAUGUGCAGGUUGAGCUGAUGUGAUGAUGGUGCUGCAAUGAGCGGAGUCUCCAGGGUUGUUAAUAAAUAGUUAACCUGUCUAGAAUAUGUCUUCAUACAUAUGUCUAGCUACUUUCCGCUGCAAGAUGUUGUUGAUGUUAUAGUAUGUUAUGUCAUACUUUGAGUCUUAAUAUAAUGGUUUCAUAUGAUGUAUAACUUGAUUAAUGAUAUUAAUUAAGUUUUAUGCUGUCUUUCAUAGACUGUUUUCAAUUGAGUAUUAAUGAAUAAAAAUGACGAGUUUUAUUAAGAUGAGUAAGUUUUACAGCUAUAAAUGACGCCCCUUUUCUUCCCCUUCUUCUUUAACCCUAUCCCUAGUCGUGGAUCACUCGGCCUAACUAUCCCUAGUUAGGGCGGGCUGUGACA